rnacentral:rRNA from 1 species
UACUCGAGCGGCGAACGGGUGAGUAACACGUGGGUGAUCUGCCCUGCACUUCGGGAUAAGCCUGGGAAACUGGGUCUAAUACCGGAUAGGAGCCAUUUUUAGUGUGAUGGUUGGAAAGUUUUUUCGGUGUAGGAUGAGCUCGCGGCCUAUCAGCUUGUUGGUGGGGUAAUGGCCUACCAAGGCGGCGACGGGUAGCCGGCCUGAGAGGGUGGACGGCCACAUUGGGACUGAGAUACGGCCCAG